rnacentral:rRNA from 1 species
GAUGAACGCUGACAGAAUGCUUAACACAUGCAAGUCAUUGGCGAAGCUGCGCUUGCGCAGUCUAGCCAAGGCGGACGGGUGAGUAACGCGUAAGGAACUUGCCCUGCAGACAGGGAUAACAGACGGAAACGACUGAUAACACCUGGUAUUGUCAGGCUGGCGCAUGCCGGCCUGAUGAAAGGAGACGCUGCAGGAGAGCCUUGCGUCCUAUUAGCUAGUUGGUGGGGUAACGGCCCACCAAGGCGAUGAUAGGUAGCCGGCCUGAGAGGGUGAACGGCCACAAGGGGACUGAGAUACGGCCCUUACUCCUACGGGAGGCGGCAGUGGGGAAUAUUGGACAAUGGGGGCAACCCUGAUCCAGCAAUUCUGUGUGCACGAAGAAGGUUUUCGGAGUGUAAAGUGCUUUCAGCAGGGAAGAAGAAAGUGACGGUACCUGCAGAAGAAGCGACGGCUAAAUACGUG